AUGACAACUUUAGUCGUGGAGGAACAACUUCCUCUUUGGAUGUCGAGUUUCGGUUUUCCGAGGUUUUUUCAUAUGACAAUUCUAAUUGUAAAAAAUGUCAAAUUUUGUGCCACACCUGUGGCAUUUAUCAUUAGGGAAAAAAGUGACGGACUUGACAAAUGCGUCAACUUGAAGAAAGCAGAACCUGCGGAAAACAAGGUGAGCACCAAAACCAAGACAAGGACGAACCUUGUGCAGUUUAUCGUGAAACGGGGUACAAAACGAAGGGCGAAUAUUAUACUACCAUUCAUUAUUCUUACCAAAAUACCCACUUGGUCAGUACGGCCUGAUUCAAAAAAAGAUUAUCACGAACACAGACGGUAG
rnacentral:rRNA from 1 species